rnacentral:rRNA from 1 species
GGGUGCGAUCAUACUACCACUAAUGCACCGGAUCCCAUCAGAACUCCGCAGUUAAGCGUGCUUGGGCGAGAGUAGUACUAGGAUGGGGGAC